UAGGGAAUCUUCCACAAUGGGCGAAAGCCUGAUGGAGCAACGCCGCGUGUGUGAUGAAGGGUUUCGGCUCGUAAAACACUGUUGUAAGAGAAGAAUGACAUUGAGAGUAACUGUUCAAUGUGUGACGGUAUCUUACCAGAAAGGAAUGGCUAAAUACGUGCCGG
rnacentral:rRNA from 1 species